rnacentral:rRNA from 1 species
ACUCAAAGGAAUAGACGGGGGCCCGCACAAGCAGUGGAGUAUGUGGUUUAAUUCGAAGCAACGCGAAGAACCUUACCAGGGCUUGACAUCCUACUAACGAGGCAGAGAUGCGUUAGGUGCCCUUCGGGGAAAGUAGAGACAGGUGGUGCAUGGUUGUCGUCAGCUCGUGUCGUGAGAUGUUGGGUUAAGUCCCGCAACGAGCGCAACCCUUAUUGUUAGUUGAUACGAAAGAUCACUCUAGCGAGACUGCCGUUGACAAAACGGAGGAAGGUGGGGACGACGUCAAAUCAUCAUGCCCCUUAUGUCCUGGGCUACACACGUACUACAAUGGCAAUCAACAACGGGAAGCGAAAGGGCGACCUGGAGCAAAUCCCCAAACAUUGUCUCAGUUCAGAUUGCAGGCUGCAACUCGCCUGCAUGAAGGCGGAAUUGCUAGUAAUCGCGGAUCAGCAUGCCGCGGUGAAUACGUUCCCGGGCCUUGUACACACCGCCCGU